UCUGCCAGGUAUUCAUCAGUCUUCAUCAUUGACUUGUCUGUAGUCAGAAGAUAGCUGUGCAGCAUGGACCUCAGUACAUGUGAGUAUGUAUUUGCAUUAAGAUCUAUUUACCCUUACUGUCAAUGGUUGUCUAUAACACACAUGAAAUACUUUAAUUGCCAUUAACGCAUUUUUGUUUUUUUUUGUUUUUGUUUUUAACAGUUUGUCAAUCCUUGGUGGUUCAUUGAAUACAACUGGUGAUCCUAUAGCAUCUAAUGUUAGACCCGGAUAUCUAAGCCUACUUUUGCAUGGUGAUAUACUUGACAAGGCAGAGGGUGAUUGUGCUUCUGAAGCCACGAGACCGGUUCUAUCUGAUGAUAAUCAGGUCAUCAGAGACUCCGACACUUCAGACACCCCGAUCGGUAUAUCCAAUUCGUGUUCGCCAGGCAGAAUGGACUCUGUUGUUGAUGGACAACUGUAGACUUGUUUACAGCACCGCAGACUUGUUUACAGCACUGCAGACUUGUUUACAG